UUCUAAUUGAUUCACAUUUCUAGCUAAUGUUAUUUCUGAAUGAAAUAAAUAAAGCGGAUAGCAUGAUAUCCAUCUCUCAAAAAAAAAAAAAAAUGUAAAUAUCAUUCCUGUCGUUUCACACUUUUUUAUUUUUGUACCCUAUGGUUUAAAGCAUAUCAAUUUAGUACCCGUGAUUUUAUUUUUCUUUUUUUUAUUAUUCCCUCCGCUAAUUUUUUUUUGUUAAAUCAGUGAUAAAGUUAAAUUUAAAAGAUAUUAAAAUAAAUAUUUGAUAAAUCUAGGUGGAGUUUCUGAAGUUUUUUAUAUAUUAUUUAACGAAAUAUUAACGGAGGAGCUGACGAAAAAAGAAAUAUGGUACUAAAUUGAUACACUUUAAAUCAUAGAAUAUUAAAGUGAAAAAGUGCGAAAAUAUAGGGGUAGUAUUUGAAAUUUAUCUAAAAAAAUAUUCGGAGUUGAUCUCAUGCAUCGCAUUGAGAAUUUUGUUGUGAAUUAUUGAUUUAAAAAUAAGCUUGGAAAAGGUAUAUUUUAUGUGUUGGUUGUUCGAUUUUGCUCUUGGGGCUUGUUGUGGUGAGUUUUUUUU
rnacentral:lncRNA from 1 species